rnacentral:lncRNA from 1 species
UCCAUCAGCGUUAUCUGGUCAUUGGUCAAGUAAUAGGCUUUUGGGGGUAGUGUCUCGAUCCUAACCACCUCAAAUGAUCCAUAGUGGGGUACGUCUAUAGUAACAUGUGUCUUCAUAUGGUGCAAUAUCACAAACCCAUCACCUUAUCCUAACCGUCCACCUCAUCGUAUAUCUUUUUUUUAUUUAAAAAAUUUUGAGAGCAUUACAGGAGGGCGAUUUGGCGCGGACUAGGAUAAUUUCAGGUGAGUUGGCGAGUUCCACUGCCGAUCCCGUUCAUUUUUUGUCGUACUAUCUGAUCAACAAGCACAAUCUUGAUAAGUAUUAGAUUUUAACACAUUUAACAGCAAAUUAAAGGAAACAAUCAAGUAAACUGAUCAGAAUAUUAAUAAAACCACACUAUCUGGCAGGUUUAGAAACUUAAUCAAUAUACUUAUUACAUUACAUGAAUAAAAUUGAAGUAUUAGAUUUAUUUAAUCGUUCAAGAGAAGGCCUAGGUUUCUUACAGUUUCGCUUUAUCAAUUCCUUCCUACGGUCCUGGGAUUUGACUAAAUUAAGCUAAAAUCUAGUUGUGAUGUCCAACAAAACAAAAAUUAACAUCACUUUAGUAAACAAAAUCUACAAUCCUCUGAAGGGAAAAUUUACUUGUUAGAUCAAAUAGUACGGACAAAAACUGAUAAGAAACAGCAAUGAAACUCGCCAACUCACCUGAAAGAACCCAGUCCGCCGCAAAUCGUUGUCCACUAGUGCUCUCAAAAUUUCUUAAAUAAAAAAGAGACCUGAGUUGACAUAGGAUUGAUAUAUGGUGAGUUGGACGGUCAGGAUAUGGUGAUGAGUUGGUGAGAUUGCAUCAUAUGAUGACAAAUGUCAGUAUAAAUGUACCCCACUACAGAUCAAUUGAGUUGGGCUGGAUCGAGAUCACUACCCCAAGGCUUAUUACAUGACCAAUGAUCGGAUAAUGGCGAGGGACUAAUAUUCUUUUUCAAAAAUACUAUGAUUUAUAUAUUAACUUAAUCACAAAUUGCUCACAUACAUGAACUCAUUCGAUAAAUAUAAAAGUGAAUCCAGGAUUAAGUUAAUAUAUAUGGAUCAUAGUUUUUUGUGAAAAUAUAUAUUAGUCCAUCAGCGUUAUCUGGUCAUUGGUCAAGUAAUAGGCUUUUGGGGGUAGUGUCUCGAUCCUAACCACCUCAAAUGAUCCAUAGUGGGGUACGUCUAUAGUAACAUGUGUCUUCAUAUGGUGCAAUAUCACAAACCCAUCACCUUAUCCUAACCGUCCACCUCAUCGUAUAUCUUUUUUUUAUUUAAAAAAUUUUGAGAGCAUUACAGGAGGGCGAUUUGGCGCGGACUAGGAUAAUUUCAGGUGAGUUGGCGAGUUCCACUGCCGAUCCCGUUCAUUUUUUGUCGUACUAUCUGAUCAACAAGCAAAUCUUCCCUUUAGAGGAUUGUAGAUUUUGUUUACUAGAGUGAUAUUAAUUUUUGUUUUGCUAGUAAUCACAACUAGAUGUUCAUUUAAUUUAGUCAAAUCCCAGGACAAAUAGGAAGAAAUUGAUAAAGCGAAUUUAUAAGAAGCCUGGCCCUUCUGUUGAAUGAUUUAAAUAGCACUUAAGCAUCAUCCAAGUACAAUAGCUUAUCUUUCCAAAGCCACAUUCAUUAUGUUUAAGCAUUCGUGUGGAACCAGUCUCAUUUACAAAUUGAAAGCACCUUAAUGUGCCGCAGGGCUCGCCAAAUGUUUAACAUUGGGUCUGCUAGCGCUAGGUGAUCAAUACUGAUGGUACAAAGCAAAUAUGUCCCCAUCCAUGGCCAAAGCAUGCUGUAUUUAAUUUUGCACCCAAAGUUUUAAAUUUUCGCAUUAUUGUUCCUUAAACCUUGUCUUUCUAUAUUGAUCUUCCGUAUUGAUGAGCUAUUUGUUAUCUUUAUCAAAUAAGUUGAACCCAAGAAAGUAACCAAUACACAAGAACACUCACAACAAAAUAUGAUUUGUGUAGAUUUAGUAUCGUGAAACAGCACACUGGAUUUAACAAAUAAAACCACUACUAUAAACUAAUUACAAGAAACGCUCACACCUGUUUCCUUCUUCUAGACCAUGCCCUCAUUCUCUGUUCUAGAUUAUCACCACCUUGCAUAACAUUUGCUACUAGAGACCAAACUCUCCAAUAUUACAAGUGAAUGUAUUCUGUCCAUUGAUUGGUCCGAAAGAUACGACUGAAUAAUUUACCAUGAACAACCACCG